UUGAAUAUUACAGCGUGUUAUAAGAAGACAAGUGUCAUUAAAAAGCAGGUAAUUUAGCGACAAGCAUUGCACGACAACAUUACUCCAGCUAUUAAAAGUACUCCUGUAAAAUCGCUCCCCUCCUGCCUCGCUGGGAUGAUGCCACGUACCAUUUUACAGGAGUACUUUUAGUCCGCCGGAAUAAUGUUGUCGUGCAAUGCUUGUCGCUAAAUUACGUGCUUUUCAAUGCCAUUUGUCUUGUUAUAACACACUGUAAUAUUCUACAGCAGGCAAAAAAUAAAAUAAAACCAUUAGUAAUUUGAGCAAGUGGCACCUCCGAGGCUGUGUCAAUGCAACCGUCUUUCCUUCACCUCAGGAUAUGAAUUUAGUGUGUGUGUGUGUGUGUGUGUGAGUGUGUGUGUGUGUAACACACACUGACAGGAAUGGUACAUCACUGCAGACCUACACGUCCCCGUGGGUGCCGUGAGGACACAGGCGUGCACCACACGGCUGCCUGGCUGCCCACUGGUGGUUCCUCGUGUUGUCUGGCGUGGACGAGAGGCUGCUGGAGGAGGCGGCCCAGAUAGCACAGCUCCUGCAGCCCACACAGCGCCGAUACUUCACCAUCACCUUCCCCGGCAGCAGCAUGAAGGCAGAUGUGUGGCGGCGCUGCCUUCACAAGCUGGCCAAUGCCGGCGUCACGGUGGAUGAUGAUGGUGCUGGUGGUGGUAUUGUAGCACCGGACACCAGCCCCAUCACGGAGGAGGAGGAGAGGGAGCUGCACACCCUUGCCAGCACCACGAUGUUUGGUGCCUUCAACAGAGUGUCUGAAGAGUACCUGUGGCGGUACCUGUAAUCCCCGUGACGGCCAGACUCAUCGGUGCUGGAAGUGCAUCCACUCACGAGGCAAACACCUGGGCUGCAUUUAUCCUACUGCAUUGUGUGUGUACAAGUCUACAGUGUGGCGCUCUCUCUCUCUCUCUCUCUCUCUCUCUCUCUCUCUCUCUCUGAUGAUUCAAAUUAUAUUCCUAAGUUUGUUAGAAUUCUUAAGUCUCUCUCUCUCUCUCUCUCUCUCUCUCUCUCUCUCUCUCUCUCUCUCUCUCUCUCUCUCUGAUGAUUCAAA